rnacentral:tRNA from 1 species
AAAAUCCGUUGGCUUUAUUGA